UACCUGACAGAGGACUGGACCACCUGAC
rnacentral:piRNA from 1 species